AGUAGUGUCGUCUCGUGGUUAUAAUAGGACGCAAGCUUCACACGUUGGAGAUCGAGGGCUCGAUCCCCUCUACUGGUA